rnacentral:tRNA from 1 species
GUGCGCGGCGGUGAAGGCGUACAUGUCGUACACCUCCUUGUUGGAGGUGAGCCGGCCGUGGAACUUGGCGCCGUAGUACGACGCCGUGCCGCGCUCG